GAUGAACGCUGGCGGCGUGCCUAAUACAUGCAAGUCGAGCGAACAGACGAGGAGCUUGCUCCUCUGACGUUAUCGGCGGACGGGUGAGUAACACGUGGAUAACCUACCUAUAAGACUGGGAUAACUUCGGGAAACCGGGGCUAAUACCGGAUAAUAUAUUGAACCGCAUUGUUCCAUAGUUAAAUACGGUUUUGCUGUCACUUAUAGAUGGCUCCGCGCCGCAUUAGCUAGUUGGUAAGGUAACGGCUUACCAAGGCAACGAUGCGUAGCCGACCUGAGAGGGUGAUCGGCCACACUGGAACUGAGACACGGUCCAGACUCCUACGGGAGGCAGCAGUAGGGAAUCUUCCGCAAUGGGCGAAAGCCUGACGGAGCAACGCCGCGUGAGUGAUGAAGGUCUUCGGAUCGUAAAACUCUGUUAUUAGGGAAGAACAAAUGUGUAAGUAACUAUGCACGUCUUGACGGUACCUAAUCAGAAAGCCACGGCUAACUACGUG
rnacentral:rRNA from 1 species